ACAGCAGUUCUCAGAAGGUGCCUGGUUGUCCCGUGGCGGAGGGCUGCAAAGCCAGGUAUGAAAGUUGUACAUCUUUUUUCUUUGGAUGUAAAACUUGCAUCCAACGGACUCACACACGAUGCACACACCUGACGUCUACACUCGCAGGAUCUUCCUCACUGCCUACGCCGGGGCAGCCCAGGCAGUCCCAGGAGAGCGAACACUGUCACCAGCCACAGAAGUUCCCGCGAGCCGCGUCCGGGUCAGUCCGGCCCCGCCCACCUCCCCGCCUCGAGGCCGUCGCUGUCCUGAUUGGCUGGGGAGACAGGGUAUGGAGAAGGAGCCCAGCUGUUGAAGAGAGGGGAAUGGUCAAACCGGCAAGAGGAAGAGCAAAGGAGCAUCGGAGUGGAAACUUCACCUGGGUAUAUAGAGCAGAUCCAGAGAGAUCAAGGAGAAACCAUGGAGCUAUCAGGGAGGAAAGAGUCCCACCAGAAGGAAGUGCAAAGGCCCUGAGGACACUGUCAUCGGAUUUAUGGCCCCUCCCACAUCCAGGAUGAUCUCAUCUUCACAUCCUGAUUUAAUGACAUCAGCCAAAAGCUCUGUUUCCAAAUAAGUUCCAUUCACAGGUCCCCAGGGGGCAAGCUUCAGCAUGACUUUUUGGGGUCACCAGUCAACCCAACAUAGAUGGAAAAAUGCAGGCUCCAAGUAGAAGGGACCUCACCGUGCGUUGCCACAGCCAAGGGACGGCCCUGCCCUGGGGAUCCCAGGCACACCUCUGUCUCUGGACCGGCGCUGCCCGGGUUCUGGGACCAUCUGGAGAAGUGUUCAGUGAAAAACCAUCUGGGCCGCGUCUGGGCCUCAGGGUGGGGCUGCGCCUGGGCGGAGGUUCCCUUCCUGGCUGCUGGCCGAGGCCACACGCUGGUGAACACGUCAUACCCUGGCCAGUGUCCCUGCGGGGGCCAGAGACAGCCCUGGACACUGUGGCGCUGGGAGAGGACCGUGGAACUCCUGCCGUCGGGUCAGAGAACACUGUAGGGUUGACCCUGGAAUCCAGCUCCCAACCCUCCAGCCCGGAGCCCAGGGAGGGUCCAGCCAGGGAACCCACAAGGCGGCCACUCUGCCCGUGUUUGGUUUUUUCUUUCUUUCCUCCCCCACCCCCCACCUUGACAUUUGGCCUUGGGCACAUCACCGUCUUCCUAGCCUCAGUUCUCACUGCAGACCAGGGACACAGCAGGGUGACCUCACAGUCCUCAAAAGACACCCCCUCCCCACCCCCAACCCAUCAAGCAGCUGAGGCAGAGCCUGAGGUGGGUCAGCAGAGACCAGCUAAGACAUCAGUGGUCGCAAGGACA